UGGGGAAUUUUGGACAAUGGGCGAAAGCCUGAUCCAGCAAUGCCGCGUGUGUGAAGAAGGCCUUCGGGUUGUAAAGCACUUUUGUCCGGAAAGAAAUCCUCUGGGUUAAUACCUCGGGGGGAUGACGGUACCGGAAGAAUAAGCACCGGCUAACUACGUGCCAGCAGCCGCGGUAAUACGUAGGGUGCAAGCGUUAAUCGGAAUUACUGGGCGUAAAGCGUGCGCAGGCGGUUUUGUAAGACGGAUGUGAAAUCCCCGGGCUUAACCUGGGAACUGCAUUCGUGACUGCAAGGCUAGAGUAUGGCAGAGGGGGGUAGAAUUCCACGUGUAGCAGUGAAAUGCGUAGAGAUGUGGAGGAAUACCGAUGGCGAAGGCAGCCCCCUGGGCCAAUACUGACGCUCAUGCACGAAAGCGUGGGGAGCAAACAGGAUUCAGAUACCCUGGUAGUCCACGCCCUAAACGAUGUCAACUAGUUGUUGGGGAUUCAUUUCCUUAGUAACGUAGCUAACGCGUGAAGUUGACCGCCUGGGGAGUACGGUCGCAAGAUUAAAACUCAAAGGAAUUGACGGGGUCAUAGCUGUUUCC
rnacentral:rRNA from 1 species